AUUCAUUCAGGGAUCGUUUCUAUAGUUCUUUACUAGAUAAGUUUCUCUGAUCUUGUAGAGCACUGGAAACCACGAGGAGGAGACAGAGCAUCUUCUUCCUAAGUAUGAAGCUGGUCCUAGUUGUUGAUAUUGCAACGACCUUUGCAUUGAGGAUUGUGCUUCUCUCGCUUUGGAAGAGGGAGAGUGAGAGAACACCAUUUGAGUGG
rnacentral:snoRNA from 1 species